GACGGGAGGGGCAAGCGUUAUUCGGUUUGAUUGGGCGUAAAGGGCGCGUAGAUGAUCAAUGGUAUAUGAUGUGAAAUAAGUGCAAAACACUAAAACAUCGUAAAAAAUUGGUUAGAGUCUCAAAGAGGAUUGUGGUAUUUCGGGUGUAACGAUAAAAUGUGAUGAUAUCCGAAGGAACAUCAAAGGCGAAGGCAGCAAUCUGGUUGAGUACUGACAUUGAGGCGCGAAAGCGUGGGGAGCGAAUAGG
rnacentral:misc_RNA from 1 species